rnacentral:ncRNA from 1 species
UUCUGAGAAACGGCUACCACAUCCAAGGAAUGCAGCAGGCGCGCAAAUUACCCAUUCCCGACGCGGGGAGGUAGUGACGAAAAAUAACAAUGCAGGACUCGUUCGAGGCCCUGUAAUUGGAAUGAGUACACUUUAAAAGCUUUAACGAGUAUCCAUUGGAGGGCAAGUCUGGUGCCAGCAGCCGCGGUAAUUCCAGCUCCAAAAGUAUAUAUUUAAGUUGUUGCGGUUAAAAAGCUCGUAGUUGGAUUUUGGGCGCAGGCGGCCGGUCCGUCGCAAGGCGUGUACUGGACGUCCUGGCCUUCCCUCCGGUUCUCCGCCGGUGCUCUUGACUGAGUGUCGGCGGCGGCCGGAACGUUUACUUUGAAAAAAUUAGAGUGUUCAAAGCAGGCUCUCGAGCCUGGAUAAUGGUGCAUGGAAUAAUGGAAUAGGACCUCGGUUCUAUUUUGUUGGUUUUCGGAGCGCGAGGUAAUGAUUAAGAGGGACAGACGGGGGCAUUCGUACUGUGCCGUUAGAGGUGAAAUUCUUGGAUCGGCGCAAGACGAACGACUGCGAAAGCAUUUGCCAAGAAUGUUUUCUUUAAUCAAGAGCGAAAGUCAGAGGUUCGAAGACGAUCAGAUACCGUCCUAGUUCUGACUAUAAACGAUGCCAACUAGCGAUCGGGGGGCGUUACAUUGACGACCCCUCCGGCAGCUUA